rnacentral:tRNA from 5 species
GGGCUUGUAGUCCAGUGGCUAUGACGUCUCCCUCACACGGAGAAGAUCGCCGGUUCGAAUCCGGCCAGGCCCA